rnacentral:lncRNA from 1 species
AAAAAUAAAAAUAAAAUCAAACGAAACCCAAUACCUUCCACCUCAAGCUUUCACGUCGGGUUCACUACUUUAUGUGGUAUUACGUGCUUUCCUACUCGAGAAUGCACCAAACGUCUGGCUGUAGAAGGUAGUAUGGAGAUUCGCUAAUAUUCAAGCAGUCUAUCGAUUUUUUUUUUGCUGUUGGUAUAUAAACAAUUAUAAGAAUAUACCAUAAAUCUACACGGAUGUCCUUCGACUACUUGCCAAAAUCCUUUUUGCCCCAACCAAUAGGUCUCUAGACGUUACAGAGAACCUUGAACAACCCAAUUUGCUAAUCUCCGAUACCGCUUUAUACUCACGACCUUGUAUCCACUGACUGUCUUGUUAGAUUAACCCAAAAAUUUUCAUUCACUCCGCAUACUCAAUCCUAUAGACACCCUUUUAAUUCUUCAAUCACAGAUAUAACUUCAAUUUCACAGAACAGUUAAGAGUAAUCACACCCACUUCAUUAAAACUCCGAUUCAUCAAUACAACACUGACUUUCAGCAACGAUUACCUCCGUCUUCCCCAAAUCCUAUGAAGAAAAAAAAAAUCCCAAUUCUCUAUCUUUUUUCCCCGAAG